AGCAGCCGCGGUAAUUCCAGCUCCAAUAGCGUAUAUUAAAGUUGUUGCAGUUAAAAAGCUCGUAGUUGAAUUUCGGGAUUGACACAUCGGUCGUGCCUUAAGGGGUAUGAACUGGUGUAGUCAAUUUCUCACCUUCUGGAGAACCGCGAUGCCCUUAAUUGGGUGUCGCGGGGAACCAGGACCUUUACUUUGAAAAAAUUAGAGUGUUUAAAGCAGGCAUUUUGCUUGAAUACAUUAGCAUGGAAUAAUAAAAUAGGACGGCAUGAUUCUAUUUUGUUGGUUUCUAGGGUCACCGUAAUGAUUAAUAGGGAUAGUUGGGGGCAUUAGUAUUCAAUUGUCAGAGGUGAAAUUCUUGGAUUUAUUGAAGACUAACUACUGCGAAAGCAUUUGCCAAGGAUGUUUUCAUUAAUCAAGAACGAAAGUUAGGGGAUCGAAGACGAUCAGAUACCGUCGUAGUCUUAACCAUAAACUAUGCCGACUAGGAAUCAGACGAUGUUAAUUUUUUAAUGACUCGUUUGGCACCUUACG
rnacentral:rRNA from 1 species